rnacentral:lncRNA from 1 species
UUCUUGCCUCCUUUUCCCAAUGUUCAAUGUUGUCCUUGCAACCAUGCCACAGAAUGGGGAAGAUAUAUACUUCUGGGAUGUGCAACCGGACAUGCCCACUGAGGUGGAAUCUGAGCGCUAGGAAGAGCCCAAGCCAGCUGCCAGGGAACUGACAUCAAGGAUCUACCACGAAGCAAGGGAGUGACCCUGGAGUAGAUCCAACUCAGGAAUGGGAAGUGGAGGAGCACUU